CCUACGGGGGGCAGCAGUAGGGAAUCUUCGGCAAUGGACGGAAGUCUGACCGAGCAACGCCGCGUGAGUGAAGAAGGUUUUCGGAUCGUAAAGCUCUGUUGUAAGAGAAGAACGAGUGUGAGAGUGGAAAGUUCACACUGUGACGGUAACUUACCAGAAAGGGACGGCUAACUACGUGCCAGCAGCCGCGGUGAUACGUAGGUCCCGAGCGUUAUCCGGAUUUAUUGGGCGUAAAGCGAGCGCAGGCGGUUAGAUAAGUCUGAAGUUAAAGGCUGUGGCUUAACCAUAGUACGCUUUGGAAACUGUUUAACUUGAGUGCAGAAGGGGAGAGUGGAAUUCCAUGUGUAGCGGUGAAAUGCGUAGAUAUAUGGAGGAACACCGGUGGCGAAAGCGGCUCUCUGGUCUGUAACUGACGCUGAGGCUCGAAAGCGUGGGGAGCAAACAGGAUUAGAUACCCUGGUAGUC
rnacentral:rRNA from 1 species